rnacentral:rRNA from 1 species
UACGUAGGCAGCAAGCGUUGUUCGGAGUUACUGGGCGUAAAGGGUGUGUAGGCGGUUGUUUUAAGUUUGGUGUGAAAUCUCCCGGCCCAACUGGGAGGGUGCGCCGAAUACUGAAUGACUAGAGUGCGGGGAGAGGAAAGUUGGAAUUCCUGGUGUAGCGGUGAAAAUGCGUAGAUAUCAGGAGGAACACCGGUGGUGUAGACGGCUUUUCUGGACCGUAACUGACGCUGAGACACGAAAAGCGUGGGGUAGCAAACAGG